GUUCGAUAUCUUUGCAGGCUGAAUGGCCAGUUGACUUGAGAUGCAUAUACCAUGCCUUCCCCCUUUUAUCUUUAAGGAUUCAUGACAUGGGCUGCCAUUGAGGGAACCACACAUCUAUCUUGAUGGCAGAAAUACGAUAUUUGGAAAUCUUGGGAAAACCUCUCUCAGGAUAACAUUUUCAGUAGUAGGUUUUCCUCCCUGUUACCUCUGGUUCCUAUUCCAUUGCCCUUUAUCAGUACAGGCUUUUGAAAAUGCCAUGGAUUAAAGAGGUCCCACUGCCCAGGGCUGAGCGUUUCUUUGCCCGGCCUGGUCUCUGCUAGUGGGUGGGUAAGUGGAGCCUUUGGAAGAAGGAAUCAGUGUAUGGACUGUUCAAGACAGACACAUACUUAUCUAAUUUAGGCAUUUCUAGCUGUAGGAAAGGCAAUGAUGUGAUCUAUUCCAAUGAAGAGUUUACACUUUGGAAACUCGGUUUCAGAAAAUUCUUCCAUAAUCCAACCUAAAUCUUUUCUGCUUUACUAUUUUGUCUUAAGCCAGAGAUAGGCAACUGCUGUUUUCCCAUCUUAAAACUCUAGAAAACUGGAGUGUAGAGAAUGGGCAAGAUGAGAAUGCCUCGUCUAUGUAUGUGGCUUAGUCAAAAGCUAUUUCCUGAAUCUCUCAUGUUUAGAUUUUCUCAUCAACGUUAAUGACCACUUUCAGGGCCUCACUCCCUGCUCCCCAUCAUGCCUGCAGGUUCCCCCUCUCUUUCUUUCUUCUCACCAUUUAACAGGUAUAAUAAAGCUGGGGAAUCUUUACAGUUGGUGAUUUUAUAUCACAGAUCAAAGAUCAAAGCAGAGGAAUACACAGCAACCGUAAAAUUAACUGCUUUUUCAAUUUUACAAUGCUUUCAGUGAUAGAGAAUCUUAUAAAUUUAAUAUUAAUUAAACACUUAGCUUUUAACCUCCUCCUGCAUCUACUUUUGGCUGGUGGCUGGAAAAAAUUAAUUGGGCAUCUUAAAUCUUGUAUUACUAAUGCCUUGACAGGAGGGGUUUCAGAAGCACUUAGAACUUCAGCAAAAUGUACUUGGAGCAUUUGUCCUUCCACUCACCUAAUUGAAAAUGCCCCCUUUUUUCCUUAAGGAAAAAUGAACCAUUUGCAAUUUUUUUUUUAAAGGAAGCAUAAGUUACAGUCCCCUUUCAUAGCCAAAGCUUUAACUCAGUCCCUUGGCACAUUUAACACUUCACAAAAUGGAAGCCAUUGAACUUCCAUUAUUAUAAAUGCUCUAUUGAUUUUUGAGUGUGUUGGUACCGAUGUGUGGCCGGCAAUUGCUUGGCCUAAUCAUUGUGUCACCUGAAGCCUAUGCAUGUUCAAUCCAGCAAGAGGUGCCUCCUGUUUCGGUGAGCUCACUUUGGCCUGGUAGAGUCAGAGGUGGUGGCAUUUGAGAAUGGACCCGCAGCAUUGUGAACAGGAAAGCUAGAAUAUCAGUGAAAGGAAAUAAUAUUUCUCUUGAAGGAAGCCUCAAGAGAUGGGAAGCUAAUGUGAUGGAGGAGAUGUUUUGGGGAAGCUAGACUAGGCUGUUCACAUUUUCUUAGCUCUGGAAGGAAUAGACGAUGGCCUUUUGUUGGGGGACAAGCAUUUCUCUCUUUAAAAGCCAGGCAGGCAUUCAUGGCUGUGCUUCAGAAGUGGCUCAGUAGAAAUAAUAAUACCAAUACAUUGCAUCUCUUUUGUAUUUUUUUUCUCCAGUGGGCUUGGAGAACUGUAUCCAGAUAAUCUCAUUUUUCUCACACAUCACUGUGUUAGAGAAGAAGGCCCCUGAGUUUACCCAAGCUGGUUCUCUGCUAUGACCGUAUAUUUGAAACUAGCAACUGGAAAUUAUAGUGAAUAGAGCAAGAACCCCAAGAAUGGAUCUUUCUGUACCUGUUUUAGAUUCAGGCUGGGCUAGCUGGAUGAUGCCUUUUUAUCUGGUUAAAGAAGAGUCACCAGGCAGGAAAUGAUGGUAGAGAGAUGGAAGACUACAAAACCCUUGCCAAAUUCUGCACUUUUUGUUAGUUUGUUUGCACUGCGGAAGGAUGAAGACAGUGAGACAGUUACUGAGACCAUCGGCUGCUGUGGACAUCACAGUGGGAGCAGUCUACUGGGUGGAAGGGGUGCUGUCAGGUCUUGGGGACCUUAGUAGGAGACAAGUAAAAUUAUGAUGCAGUGGAAAGGCUCCUCUGAAAACAGGUGAUGGGACACAGUGUAUGCAAUCCUGUGGGCUUUUGCUGCAAGUAGGCAGACCCCUUUCCUUUGACCUUUUUAUUUAUAAAGUCACAAUCUGAGAUCAUCAGUUUGUCAACAACAACAACAAUAAAUCCAAGAUCAUUGGAUCUGAAACCCAACACCUGUAUUGAAUCUUAAGAAAAAGAAGACAGGUUGUAUUCAUUUAAGCAUUGUCUAAGUAAUUAGGAGACAAAAUUUGCUAUUAUCGUAUGUUUCACAGUUAUGUUCUAAAUUUAUGCACCUGUGAGUAGCACUAUAGGUUUUCAUUAAUGUUUGCGUUCUCAUUUGAUCUUUAUAACUACCCUGUGAAAUAGGUACUUAGGACAAACAUUGAUCACCCCUCAUUUUAAAGAUGGAAAAUCUGAGGCUCAGAAAAAUGAAGCUCACAAAUUAUGUCUUAUGACUCCAAACUCCUGCUGGUUUUUUUUUUUAUUUGUCUGAAAACUGACUGAUGUGAUCUUAUUUGGACAAAGAAGUGUUGUUGGAAAUAUCUGUCACGUGAAUUAAUUAACAAUUUCUUCCUUCCUAGCGAGAGUAAGACCAUGGAGUAGAGCAGAUAUAUUAGUCCAUUCCAUGUGGAAAUCCGGCCUGUAGCUGUAUAUUCGUAUAGCUGUAUGUUGGUAGGAUGGACCUACAUGGUUUAAUGAAAGUGGAAGGAAAAUCUAUUUUCAGUCAGAUCCUAUAGAUAUGUCAUAAGGAAUUAGAACUUAGUUACUUAAAAAUUAUAUUCUAGAGGUUUAUAAAGCAAACAUUUAUUAUAUUCAUUUACCUUUUUAAAAAAUUUUAAGCAAAGCCCAUACUCCUGUUUUGGGGAUAUCUGAAAGAGAGAGCAUUUACAACUUUAGAAUUACAGAUUCAUGAGGGAUCUGAUUUUAUUUUCUUUUUCAACUUUAAUUUUUGAUUCAGUGGGUACACAUACAGGUUUUGUUACCUGAGUAUAUUGUGUGAUGCUGAGGUUUGGUGUACAGAUAAAGCUAUCUGAUUUUACACUCUUAUGCAGUGGAUCUACCACUACUACAAUGACUGCUACAGGGCUGCUAAUGUUUUCUGAAUAUUGUCUAAGUACUUCUAGAAAUAGGAAAGAAGAUCACAGAAUCAUAAAUUCUUCUAUCUUAAAGGAGCCUUCAGGAUAAUUAUUAUUUUACAAAAAAAUGCAGCUAGGCUAUUGUAUACAUCAAACAGGCUGUUUUUUCUCAUGGUGAACUGAAUCUGCUUCAGUGAAACUUUCCCCAUUCUGUCUGAGGUCUCCCUUUGGACACAAUGUAGAAUAAAUCUAUUGCUCUCCUGCAUUCAGAUAGUUGAAGACUUAUUUUUUACCUCUUCAUCUUCUCUUCCCUAGGCUGAACGAAACGAAAACUCUCAGUUCCUUAGGUUUCUGUGCAUUAUUUCUAAUUUUUUCUUAAUUCAUAACUCUAUAGACACUUAUAGAACACCUACUAUGUGUGAGCCUGGCAUUUUUAAUUUAAAACCCUUUCCUGGCCGGGAAUGGUGGCUCAUGCCUGUAAUCCCAGCACUUUGGGAGGCCAUGGGAAGAGUAUUGCUUGAGCCCAGGAGUUCGAGACCAGCCUGACUCUACUAAGAAUUUAAAAAUUAACCUGUCAUGAUGGAGCGUGCCUGUAGUCCCAGCUACCCAGGAGGCUGAGGUGGAAGGAUUGCUUGGGCCCAGGAGUUCGAGGCUAUAGUGUGAGAUCCUAUCUCAAAUAAAUACAUUAAUAAAUCAUUUGCUUUGUAAUACAAACUCAACCUAAGAACUAGAUAAAAGAAAGCCGAUUUUACUUUUUUCCUUUGUGCUCAGGUAAUAGAAAAUGAAAUUUGUAUGUAUGUUUAUAACGUGUACGUUUAUACCUGUAUAUACAUAUUCAUAUGUAUUUUUAAUCAUAGGGAAUGAACACUAGAAAGUAAAUGAAAAAUGAGUUGAAAAACUAAGCAUUUAAAAUAAAUCAAUUGACUUUUGAUAUAUUAAGAUAUUAAUUUCAAGGUUAAUUAUAGCCUCCUGUUAGAGAUACAACUGUUCAAAGAUACAUCAUCACAGCUGAUUGUCAGGCCUAGAUGCCUGUGAGGAGAGAUACUCAGCUUCAGUAACCUGUUGAAGCCGGGACAUAGAAAGUAAAUGAAAACUCAAUUGUAAAAACAUUCAUUGUUUAAACCCUAGACACUGGGGCCUACUUUAGAGUGGAGUGUGGAAGAGGAGUGAGGAUUGAAAAACUACCUAUGAGGCACUAUGCUUAUUACCUGGUUGACAAAAUAAUUCAUACACCCAACCCCCAUGACAUGUAAUUUACCUGUAUAACAUACCUACACAUGCACCCCUGAACCUAAAACAAAAGUUAAAAAAAAAUUAAACCCUUUUGUCCUCAAUGUUUUGAUAUUUGGUCCCGGGAACUCAAAUUUGCCUUUGUCUUAACUGGUAAAAAUAUUUACCCGGAAAUGAAGAAACAUUAAAUACACUAAUAUGUAAAGACUUCAGAGGGAAUGUUUAAGAAUCCAAGCAAUCAAAAUAGCACCUUUAAGUAUUUCUGUAGUGUAUGCUGUAAGUACUCUAUAAAAAUGUAUUAAUAUGUCUUGUUAAAAUGCCAUUUACAUACAAUGGUAACAUAAUUAUAAUUACACGUCUUUCUUACAGAUUUAUUAAAACAGAUGUGAUCUACCAAUAAUGUUUUACGUCUGAUGGAAAGAAUUGGAAUAUAAUAAUCCUACUUUUCUUUAAUGCAUUACUAAUUCAGACAGGCCCUUCUGGUUGUUCUGAAUUGGAGAGAGAGCAGGCACUUCAGCUGGAUUUGGAAUCAUCCACUUUUUUUUGCAGGUAUUUCGAAAAAAGCCUGGUUUUGGUACAGCUCUUCCAGAACCCACGGGAAGAACCUGUUCAUCAGCUCAUCCAUCCGUCUGCUGAGUAAAUGCUUAUUGAGCAUCUACUGAAUGCCAGCACUGUUCUUUGUUCUUGGAAUACAUCAGUAAACAAAAUAAGAAAAACAAAACCAAACCUCCUGACCUCAAGGAACUUUUAUUUUAGGAAUGAUGUCUUUUAGUCAUUUAAUAGUUGCUGUUUUUAUUAACUCUUAACUGUACCCAUAAACUGGAUACUUUCAACUUAAAAAAAAAAAAAAGGGAAACUAAUUAUGUGCUCUAAGGAUCACCAGGCCUUAGGUUCUACCUUUAUUUUUCUUCUACUGUUAAAUAGCAACCUCGUUCCUCAGGCUGCUGAUGGAAUUGGUAGCUGAUGGAAUUGGUAACUGAGUAAUCAGGCCACUGUGCUCGGGGACAUAAAACCUGUGGCCGCUGCCAUUGCAGAGUCCCGUCAUGGAUCAGAGUUCGUCCCUGAGAGACAACUUGUGCCGACGGAAGGAGUUCUUCCUUUGCUCCCCUCAUACCUCCCUUCCUUGCAGAUGGGAUCCUUGCAAGGGCAGAGCAGCUCUUAGAGGUGUCAGGCCCUUUUCUUUCAUUCUGCUUAUUUUCCCAUAGGCGAGUACUGCUCAGAACCCAGGCUGUGAGUUUUUUGAUGUGGAAAGCUAUUUACUAAACAUGUCUUGAUGCAGAGGAUGGAGGGAAAGAAAGCCUCCAAGAGAGUGGUGAUUCUACAACCAUCAUCAAAUUUUGGUUGAAAACUCAAAGCUGCUGAUAUGUAUUAGUAAGCAGAUAAUAGUAACAUCCUGUAUUUGCAUGGCCCUGUAUCAGUCAAUAGCAUUCAGAUUUGUGUGGUGGUGUAUAGCUUUCCUUAUUUCAUAUCAGGUGUUUUCAUUUGAUCCCAAGUAGUAUGUCCUGAGACAGAAGAAAUAGCCCCAUUUUACAGAAGAAGAAACCCAAAAUUGCAAGGAAUUUGCCUAAGGUCAUUAGAAAGUGUCUAAAAUAAGACUUUGACCCAGACUCUCUGAUUUCAAGCCCAGCGAUUCUUCUAACAGGCCAUAUUCUUUCACUUUUAUUAUCUUGACUUACGCAACAAAGGAGAUAAGCCAGGUACAUGUCAUUAAUCUUCCUAUGUAUGACAACUGAGGCUCCAGGAGGUUAAAUGCCUUGCCUAAGAUUACUUGGGUGGUGGUAGAACUGGUUUUCAAAACCAGAUCAUCUGAAUGGAAUCUAGGUCUUUCUGCUGUAUCACCUUGUUAAUGUGUCAGGAACUACCACCCCACCUUCCAAAACACAUACACACUCUCACUUUUAAUGCGGACCCAUCUUAGAAUAAACUAGUUAAGGACUGACUGCUGAACAUGGUCCAGAAACUUACUGUCAAAUUUUGCUUUUGAGAUGUGCUUGUGUUGUGUGAAGUCUUUUUUUUUUUUUCCAGUAUUGAUGAGGGAUCACUUUAAGAUUUAUUGGAUUUUGUUUGUUUUGUUUUGUUUUUGAGACAGGAUUUCACUCUUAUCACCCAGGCUGGAGUGGAGUGGCGUGAUCAUAGUUCACUUCAGCCUCUAACUCCUGGGCACCAGCAAUCCUCCUGAGUAGCUGGGAAUAUAGGCAUGUGCCAACACACCGGGCUAAUUUUAUGUAUUUUUUAGAUUUUCAUAGAGAUGAAGGGAUCUCAGUAUGUUGCUCAGGCUGGUCUUGAACUCCUAGCCUCAAAUGAUCCUCCUGCAUUGGCCUUCCCAAAUACUGGGAUUACAAGCCUGAGCCACUGCGCCCAGCCUAUAAUUAUUCUAAAGAUUUCUUUCCUGUGUAUGUACAGAAUAUCUAACAGCUAUGCUUACCUUUAAAGCAGCCUUAUGAAUAUCCUUGUGAAUUCCUUAAGCUCAAAGGUCUUGUUUGCAUUUUGUAGGUAUAUCUGUAGAUAGAUCUUACCUAUCUCUGGCAGGUAACAUUAUCAUCAUGUUUUUCCCUGUUUCUGGACACUUUGUGAAAGCAUUGUAGAAAUAAAAGAAGUCUUUAUUCUUUGACCUCUCUUAUGCAUUAUGAAUUCUGAAAAACUGAGGGAGAUAAAAGGCAAUCUAUGCUUUACUGCUUUCCCUAAGUUUUGAGAAGCAGGCUUAAAAAAAUGCUUUAAAAAUUUUAGAUGCCAUAAUACACUGAAAAUAGGGAUCUCAGGUAGUUGAGGCAGACCAGGAUUCUUCUUUGACCAGUCCUUUCACUGAAAAGACUGUAUUUAGAUAUUUCUCUGAGUGUUCUAGAUUCAUAGACCCAAAUGACCUCUCUGAGCAUCAAGAUACAUGAAGAAGUUACUUCCUGAGGAUAAUAAAUAUGAAAAGAGAAUUAUCACCCUCUGCUUUCAGAAAUCACUUAAAAAGGAAGGGAGUGCUUUUCCCAUGAGGUUCCUGAGACAGAGUCCUUAUGUCACCUUGUAUUGGCAAAAAGAUCUGGGGCACUGUGUUUGACGAUAGCACUUCUUUGUUCCCCUCCCGAUAUAUUUACGGAAUAUAAUCCUGUUUUGCUUGCACUCAUUUCCAUAAUACGGAAAGUCAAUAAACCUUAUAUAACGUUUUAUGGUUAAGAACUACUUAGUCUUGUGUGUGGAACUUCAGCAAGAAGCAAAAGAAAAUUCACUUAUAGAUAUGUUACCUCACGUAAUCCUCACCACAACCUUAGGAAUUAGACAUAAAUUACAAGAACCAAUUACUGAUUGGGAAAGUAAGUCUCAGAGAGGUUAAUGACUUCCUCAAGGACACAGGAUCUUUCUUGAUCUGACCAAGACGUGGGCCUCGUUUUCUGAAUCCAGGGUUCUAGUCCUGUCUUUUAGGAGAUGUCUAAGUCAUACAAAAGCAUCACUGGCAGAUUCCACCAGUGUUUUAUUCACACCUUGCAACAGCCUACUUUUUGAAGGUUUCUUGCUGUCAUGGCUAUUCAUUCCUAUGAGGUGGAAAUGGCUUUUUUGGUAUCUCUUUGCAUUAUUACAGUUGUUGUUAUUUUUAGUUCUAUUUAUAUGAAAAAUGUACUUUUUAGCCCACAAAAAUAGCAUAGCAGCAGCUUAUCAAAAUGUCCCAGACAAGUUUACUUCAACAAAUUAGUAACACCUUCAUGCUUCCUGUGGUGGAAGAAAUGCAGAGUCCACUUCCUCCCAGUGAACAUCUGAGCCAGAUUCCUGCUCCACUCGGUCCCCCUUCUCACCUCUUACAGCCAUGAAAUAAUGUGAGAGUAUUUGUUUCCCCUGCAAAGGGAAGAGGGUCCAGAGACAAAAGGGAAGUUAGUAUUCACUGGAAGCCUCCCUGUACAAGCAACAGUGUUAGGACUUUUAUACACAUUUUUACAAUUAUUACAGCAGUUCUCAAUUAUUGAAACAGAGGGUAGGCAUUUCCCCUUUUUCAGAUGGGAAAAGUGAGAAUUAAGUUAAUUUUCCAAAGUCACACAGCUAGUGAGAGAAAAAGCCUGGACAGGAACUCAGACUGUAUGACUCCAAAGGCUAAGUGCAUUCUAUACACACAGGCCGCCCUCCUGGCAGUGAGAGUUCAGGAUCUGUUGGAGAAAACCUCAGACCAUGGUUUUCUUGCAGCUUCUGCUGAAGAACAUUAGGUGCCUGUUCCCCCGUGGUGAGUGUUACAAAGUGCAGCACCACCCAGGGGAAGAGUCUGGGCCUUGGAGUUAGACCUGAGUUUGAAUCCUCCUUCAGAUAUUUACUAUUGAUGACAUUGGCAAUCAAUGCUGCUGAAUUUCCCCAGCCCUCCAUUUAUUCAUCUAUUAAGGGGAGAGCUACCUACAGGGCGGGGAACUUACAAGGAUUAGAUGAGGGGAUACGUGUAAAGGCCUAACACCCAGUAGGUGCUCACUAAAUGAUGUUCCUUAUUAUUAUGGUGAUUACCGCUGUACUCUUUUCAGAUGAAAGUGUUCGGUCACCUGGAACCUGUGAGUAUGUGGUUUUUGAUCUGUGACUAAACUGUUCACCCAUUUCCCAGUUUCUCUGCUCUGUCAAAUAUCAACAUUUUACCAGGUUUCUCUGUUGUUGCCAAACCUGUCAUUUUUAUUUGGUGUGGCUUCUCGGGAAACUUCCAUGGCCCAUUUGAUGGGAAUCAAACAGAGUGAAAACAAGGACAGAUGCAGCAGAGGUGGCAUCAGGAACAAAUGGGUCAUAAGAACUUACCUUGGCAGCAGCCCCAGAAUGGUCAGGAGGAAAGGCACUUUAAGAUAUCAGAAGGUAGAAAGGAGAGGUUGGAUGAUAGAAUGGGGAAGGGAUUCCUCCUCGUGUUCACAGAAGUGAAUCAAUGCGAGACACAAGGUUACCAUUUAAUAUUCCUGUUCUCCUAGGCAUGGGUCAGGUACAUCUUCAGCCAUGGGUAAGUUUGUUCAACAAAUGAGUGAUCUUUGGGAGGUUGAGGCGGGCGGAUCACGAGGUCAGGAGAUUGAGACCAUCCUGGCUAACACGAUGAAACCCCGUCUCUACUAAAAAUACAAAAAUUAGCCGGGUGUGGUGGCGGGCGCCUGUAGUCCCAGCUACUUGGGAGGCUGGGGCAGGAGAAUGUCGUGAACCUGGGAGGCAGAGCUUGCUGUGAGCAGAGAUGGUGCCACUGCACUCCAGCCUGGGCAACAGAGCGAGACUCCAUCUCGAAAAAAAACAAAAAAAAAAACAAAAAACAAAACCAAAUGAGUGAUGCAUUGACCUUUCAUAAUUCUUGGAUGCAAAAGUAGAACUCAAGCUACUUAAUAACAAUCAUGGUGGCAUGGGCACCAGCAAGUCAGGGUGGACAACAGCCAUAGUUCUGGAGCAUGGUCCUCAAGACUACCUUUUGUAUGCAGAGUAUUAACACUUUAACUCUUAGAUCCUUGGAACGUAAGGAAGAGAGGCUGGAACAAAAAGGGGUUGGCAUUUGGAGGUGGAGAGGUAGUGUAAGGCACAACUGUUUAUCAACUGGUAUCUAAGUAUUUCAGGCCAGACACCUGGCUCACACCUCUAAUCCCAGCACUUUGGGAGGCUGAGCCAGGAGGAUUGCUUGAGUCUAGGAGUUCAAGACCGGUCUGGGCAAUGUGGUGAAACCCUGUCUCUACAAAAAAUACAAAAAUUAGCCGGGUGUGGUGGGGCAUGCCUAUGGUCCCAGCUACUGGGGAGGCUGAGAUGGGAGGAUCCACCUGAGCCCUUGGGGGUCGAGGCUGUAGCGAGUCAUGAUUGCACCACUGCACUCCAGCUGGGUGAUAAAGUGAGACCUUGUCUAAAAAAAAAAAAAAAAGAAAUAGUUUAGUAUCUAGCUUCUGGUCCACUUGUACUGGUGUUGACUAUGUAUCAGCCCAGCUUAUGUGGCUACAGGGAUUCUCAUUGCACAUCUGAAUGAAGCCAAAAAGAUACGCAAGGUUUUAAGAGUAUUUGAUGUCUUAUUGGCAAUAUGAGGUGGACCAGCCAUACAGUUAGUAACAUAACCAGCAUUGGCUUCUGGCACUUAGUUCUGAGUUCUUUCUGAAGAACUUAUAUAUAUGCAGAAACUGGACUUAGCACUCACUUAAAGAAGAAAUAACUUUGAUAAGAACCAGGUGGGUUGUUCUUUCUCUUUAUUGGUUUCAUGUUUUCAGAUCUUGCUAACUCUCCCCAGCUGUGCCCUGCAGUGGAGACCUAUUUGAGACUCUGUUAUGAUAUGCCCAAGAUACCACACAUGCCCUAGGCUCUUCCCCUAGCGACAACCAUGGUGCUCUCUAGGAACUAAUCUUUGUGGCAAAGACCUUUGCCCGGGGGACACCUGCCUCUCCUAGCUCUUUUCCCCUCAUGUCAAGGACCAUGCAUCUCAUGCUAUCUUUUCAUCGUCAUUUUCUCAACGUUAGGGCUUUAUCUUUGAAAUGUGUGCAUCCGCCUUUAGACACUUUAUCAUUAACUGGAAAUUACUGUUCAGAUAGACUUGAGGAUAAUUAUUCACGUUAUUAAAAAACAUUCCUCAGUUCGGUAAAGUAUUUGGUAGCAAGCUCCUAUAAGUAGAGAGAGUUUCUGAUGUAUUUGAAUACAGAUCAAUUACAACUUGAAGGAGAGGUUGGUGCAUUGCUGAAGAACUUUUAAUAAAGUUGCAGGUGCUGUCAGAAAUGGAACCAUACCUGAAAAAUAAUAACUGAAAUUUCUUCAGUUCCAUAGCAUUGCAAAACUUACUUCCGCAUUUGCUCAUGUGAUAUAUGGGAUUUCCAUCUCUAAUCCUUUGCAAGAUGGAAAGUCUGCCACACACAUUUCUAGCAAGCCGUGAGGUAGCUGGAAACUGCCACCAUGCCAUACCUAACCCCACUCACACCAGGGCCAUGACCUCUUACACCUCUUUUUUAAGGUCUUCAUCAAUGACACAUGACCCUAACAACACAUGACUCUGUUGCCACUUUCCAUUCUUCCCCCAAUAUCUCCCCUUCUAGGAGAUUUCAGAGCUUUGCUCUUCUCUGUUAAAUGAUUGUCAUCCUCAGAUGUAGGCUAAGAAAAAAAUAGGAUCUGAUUUCCUGAACUCUUCUUUGCACACAGCCUUUCAUGGAAACUGCUGUAAUGCAAGUCUGGGUAUUCCCUGAAGUGGCCCUUCAUGUCACUAUUUGACUAAGGAAUAGGAGGGAACAACCCCGUCUUGCCUCAUCCCUGCUCUCUCAGCCGAAGAAGACCUGUGUCUGGCUGGAGGGUGGCGUCGCGCCUCCCCUUGGUGCCGCAGGCCAUGCAUAGAGGCAACGACCUUCCUCCAGGGCUCCUAUUGAGCUGGGGAAUGAGUAAUUGGGACUCGCCAAAGUGUUUAAACACCAGAAUUGAAAUUAAUGUCCCCUCAUUGCUGGGUACGCUGACAAUACAUUACGGCAAACACCUUCCCAAAGUGAAAUGAAUGUUUGUUUAUCCUCAUGAAAUAUACAUCAAAACAUGUUGGGGGAAGAAGCCCUAAUGAGGGAAGAGGCCAGGUUUCUGUUAAUUCUUGGCAAAUAGUUAACUGAAGUGGAAGGUAUUUUUUUCUUUUUCUUUUUCGUUCUUCUUUUUUCUUUUCUUUUUUUUCCUCCAGAAUAACCUGUCCACAGCUGUGUAUCUAGGACAUUAAUAUGGGUUUAAUGAAAACUCCAGUUGAUCUGUCCAAAGAUAUUGAUGAGCAUUGCCCAGGCGUAUUAAUCAUCUCCUUGAGGGAGGAAAUGAAGGGAAUGGGCGAGCAGGUUUCUGUCAGAUGCCAAUCCAGAUGAAGAGAUGUGAAAAGAAAUUUUUUUUAAUCCUCCAUAGCUAUAUCCAUUUCCUGGGACAUGGGUUGGCCCAAGAGGGAAUGAGAAGGACCUGCGAUUGCACAGGAAAUUCUGGGGCACAUUUAACGUUAAAUCAUUAAGCUUCUGCCAAUAAAUCCAUUACUGUUAAUUACGUUGAGAUGGCCAACGAUCCGCUGACAAUAUUCCUUCAUUGAUUUUCAUUCGCAGUGAAUCGAUGUUCUGGCUUGGCUGUCUUUGGUGUUUUCAUUCUUUCAUUUCUUUCUCCCCGUCCUCAUCUCUCUCCCCAUGCCCUGCUCCCUAUACCUAUCCCUCCCCCUCCCCUUGAGCUUUUUCAGUAAUGCAGUUCCCCUCUCACUGGUGAUACAGUUCUCUCCCUAAGUGCCAAAUGUUUCUUGAUAGGAACAAGCUACAUUUCUUUAUGGCUUAUGGCAAACUGCCUUGAUUACUUCUACUGCUGUACCCAUUAUGUGAAUUAAAUAUGUAUUCAGUUGCAUGCUGCUUGCGAUGUUAUUGCAGGGUGACAUAUGGUACUGACUCAAUUAGAAUGAAACUAGCAUUAGAUAACCCUUCUGAUUACAUGCAUCCUGACCGGCUCCUCCUCGGCCUCCCCUCUGUGCUCUCGCUCUCCAGUGUCUGGAGGCCGCAGAUUUUCAUUAUCGGUUAUCAUCUCUGCCACAUCGGAUGCGGGAUGGGGGUGGGAGAGGGAGGGGCCUGUGGAUCUCUGGGAAAGAAAGCAGAUCAGACAGACAGACUGCUGUGAAAGGGUUGGUGGGGAGGAAUAGAGAGGCCUCUGUGCUUGCAUUUGGAAUUAACAUUUACAAUUACAUUUUUUGGAAGUGGUUGUCAGGCCUACUCUGAAAAGGGGCUGGAAAGGUCUCUCUAGAGUUGUGAAGCAACGGCUGCAUGUGAUUAGUCAGUCCUUACCUUGAAAUGAUUUAUUUAAAAAGAAUACAUUGUUCGGGCGCAGUGGCUCAUGCCUGUAAUCCUAGCAUGGGAGGCCGAAGCAGAAGGGUUGCUUGAGCUUAGAAGUUCGAGACCAGCCUGGGCAACAUAGCAAGACCCUGUCUCUAAAAGAAGAAAAAAUUUAAGCUUUUCUUAAAAAAAAAAAAAAUCUUUUUUCUGUUGUUGCCGUUUCUUUUUUAAUGCAGAGCUAAUACUCUACUACCAGUAAUAUAUUUUGUUUUCAUAUCACACCAACAUUCAGUAUAUGUUAACCUGUUUGAUUUUCAUCAUAUCACACCAAUAUUCAACAUAUGUUAACGUGUUUGAUUUUCAUCAGCAUCUGACAACACAGGUGGACUAGGAAUCAUCCCCCUGUUUUACAGAUGAUGCGGUGGAGAUUCGGAGAGGCUUGGCUGCAUUACAGUUUGAAGUCACAAAGUCCCUGAGUGCCCAAAUGAGGGGGAAUCCUUAAAAUGCAGGGGGUUCUGAAGGGCAACUCAAGGAUGCAUUGUAAAGUGAUCGAGAGUUGUUAAAUCUUUUUUUUUUUUUUUUUUUUUUUUGUGACAGAGUCUCCCUUUGUCACCCAGGCUGGAGUGCAGUGGUGCAAUCUCGGCUCACUGCCACCUCUGCUUCCCGGGUUCAAGUGAUUCUCCUGCCUCAGCCUCUUGAAUAGCUGGGAUUACAGGCAUGCACCACCACACCCGGCUAAUUUUUGUAUUUUUUGUAGAGAUGGGGUUUCGCCAUGUUGGCCAACUGGUCUUGAACUCCCGGCCUCAAGUGAUCCUCCCACCUUGGCCUCCCAAAGUGCUGGGGUUACAGGCAUGAGCCACUGUGCCCGGCGAGAGUUGUUUAAUCUUGAAAAGUUGUCUAGCAUAGUUGGUGCUGGAAUAUCUGGAAUAUCACAUCCUGACAUAAUACAAAUCACACUAGAGUACUGUGGGCAUAUGACAUUUCCUUAUGAGGAGUAAUUUUCUCUCUGUGAUAAUUUUAACUGUGUUUUAGAGUGUUCUAAGCUUCCUUCCUCCAGCUCUAUCACUUCCAGUUGCCAAGCAAGAACUUAUAGACAGACCCAUUCUCUUUCAGUCCCAUCUAGACACACCUGAGGCUGAAGCAUCUUCUAGGCUAGGGGCUACCACAGGGCACUCAUAGAGAGCAGAGAGCUUGCAGGCAACCUUGGCUUUUCUCAAGCGCUGGUAGAAAGGCUGCUGGGUCUGAGAUCACCCAACUGACGUUGCGUCACCAUAAAAUAAGACUUCUUGCCUGUGAGCAGCUCAAGUUAGCAGGCAUAUUUGAGUGUCUUCCACAGAUCCCCAAUCUGGAAAUCUGAAAACCAGAAUGCUCCCAAAUCUGAGAAUUUUUGAGCACCACCAUGAUGCCACAAGUGGAAAAUUCUGCACCUGACCUCAGGUGACUACAGAGUCAAAGCAUAGUCAGAACUUUGUUUUAUGCACAAAAUCAUUAAAGUGUUAUAUAAAAUUACCUUUAGGGUCUGUGUGUAAACUAUAUGAGGUACAAAUGAAUCUUGUGUAUAGACAUGGGUCUCAUCCCCAAGACACUAUUACGUAUAUGCAAAAAUUCCAAAAUCUGAAGACAAUAAUCCCAAAUUCGAAACACUUCUGACCCAAGCAUUUUGGAUAAGAGAUACUAAACCUGUAUAUGUGCUUGUGUGUACCACAUUAUAUGCUGUGGGAAGUACAAAGUGUACGUAGACAGCUGGCUAUAGGCAGCUCAUACGCAGGCAGAAGUGGCCAUAGGCAGCCCAUACCCAGGCAGAAGUGAAUAUCAUGAGGGUAAGUGUAAGUGAGGAUGGUGUGAACUCAGAAGUGCCAUAGAUGCACUUAAAUGAUUUUAGUGUUUUUUAUGCUGUCACUCAGCCCAUUGCCUUGAGUAUAGCAGGCUUUUAACAAAUACAGAUUGAAUGGAUGCACGGAUGAACGAAAGGGAGGGUGUGAACUAUGAUAUAAUGAGGCAGGUUUUCAUGGAGGAAAUGGGACCCCUUAUAGAUAACACAACCAUCCAUUCCCACCCCACCCCUCCCUCCCCUCCUACUUUUCAAUUAUAAUAAUGAUAACUAAGUUAUGCAGCACUUUAUAUUUAAAGUAACCCUUUCAAGAAAUGCUGGAAAGAUAAGCAAGAAAUGAAGAAAAAUGGUUAUCAGUAGAGGCCAGGUGUGAGGGUGGGGAAUAGGGUUAACAGGGCCAAACAAGGGUGGGAGCAAGACUUGGCAAUGUAUGGUGAUCAUAAUGUAUAUUGUAGAUGUAUUUUUAUAUUGUAAAUGCAUUAACUACUCAAAAAUAAUGUUAAAAUCAAAGAAAUUUUCUGGAGCAUUAGCUUACCCAGUCUUCACAGUCACCCUUUAAAUGGGGUGCACAGUUUUACUAGGUUCUAAUUUCAUGAAAGGGAAUCGAAGAAUAUAAAUAACUUACCUAAGAUCAUAGAGUUAGUAAGUUGUAGAGGCAAGACUAGCCCAGAUUGGGUUCUUUCUACCACAGCAUAUGGCUUCUGUGAAUAUUGUCCCAACUGUGCUAAUCUCCAGAGAGGUUUAUGGCUAUGUGGUUGGGACCUUCCCUGAGACCACUGUUUGCCAAGUGGUGCCCCACAGGCCUGUGUGUGCCCCAUAGGCCUGUGUGUGCCCCAUAGGCCUCUGCAGGAAGAAAGAGUUGGAAGCUCAGGGUUCUUCUCCCCACUGCCACUGUAACACAGCAGAUUUAAACUACAAGCAACAGCAGAGCAGAGCAGAGCUUGGAUGUACAAGACGAGCUGUCUCUGAACUGGCCCUGUGGUUCAUGCUCGCUGUUGCAGAAGGGAGGAAGUGUGAAGCAGAUGGCCUUUGCCUGGUUUUCAGGGUCGCCCUGAGAUACACAGGGUGCCUGCUGAGGAAUGAGGGAGCUAUUACAAUUAUUAUAAUACCUGGAAGGGCGAAGAACAAAUCAGGCACUGAAAGCACCAAAAGUUGUUGAUCUUGUAAAUUUAGGACAGUGUGACUUACAUUCUUGAGAGCAAAGUAUGACAUUUUUAUGGCAUGCUUUAGGUAGGGUCCCCACUAUUCUAUAGGUGUUUAUACUACUUCAGUUGCUUCACAGCUCCCCCUUCUUUCCUACCACACCCGACACUCCCCACCAUUUUCCAUCAGCAGGGGAGCUACCUAGAGCUGCCUUACUUGGCAGAGCAGAGGUAGCACCUGUGUCAUUGGCUGUUCUAGUGUGCUGUCAUCUAGCAUAUCUGUUAUUCCAUCUGCAGCCUUCACACACUUUUGCUCUCCAGGUCCAGUGAGUUCAUACAUAGCAAGGGCUUUUCCUGAGUAUCAUGUAGCCAAUGAAGAACAGAUCUGUCCAUAGACUCCUGGAAGGUAAUUUGCUGCUCUGAACACCAUGACGUCUGCCUUUUCACAACAUGCAGCUAAUCAUAGGCACCUUAUGCCCAAGAUUGCCUUUCACAAGAGUUGUGAAAGUGCUCUCCCAGUCUGGUUCCUUCUAUGGGCCAUGUUCUGUUUUGAUGUUGUCUAAAAGUGUCCUCUGUAUCUUCUGUACCUCCUAACCCAGGUCCCACCUCCAUGAAACCUUUAGGACUAUCUCAGAUGUCACAGAACCAGAGAGACUAGUAAUUCUAAGAUUUCUAGCUUUUUUUUUCAACUAACUUCUAGAGUGCUUUGUUUUCUUUGCUGAAGUCAGAUUUCUGCCCCUGCAGAUUAUGAAAUCACCCAGUGGACAAAUUCAGUCCUUAUUCUACACUCUUGCUGUAUUUGAUCCUGAUAACCUUUCUAUUAUAUAAUUCUCAUUUCUUCAUCUCUGUAUUCUCCUGGUUUGCUUCAUAUCUCUUUGGUUGGGCCUUCUUAGUUAACUUCAAUGUUGCCUCCUCAGCCCAUCACUAAGUAUUCGUAUGCCUGCAUUUAUCAACUAAAUACCUAUGGCUCACAAAUAUAUCCAUCUGUGAUCUCACUGAGGACAGAGGACUUAUCUUCUUUGUCAACCGCUGCAUCCCCAGUGAGGAGUACAAUGUCUGGACUAAAACAAGUAUCCAGUAAGUAUUUAUUGAACAAAUGGUAAAGUAAAACCUAUAUGUUUAGCCCAGAUUGCUUUUGUGAGUUUCAGAUCUACACAUAUAACUGCCCGGCAAGCAUCUCUAUAUCCAUGUUCAGCAGAUUCAUAAAUCCAGAGCAGACCUCAUCAAUCCCCAUCCACAAUAAGUCUUCCUCCUGUAUUCCGUCUUUUAU